GACGAACGCUGGCGGCGUGCUUAACACAUGCAAGUCGAACGGAAAGGCCCUGCUUUUGUGGGGUGCUCGAGUGGCGAACGGGUGAGUAACACGUGAGUAACCUGCCCUUGACUUUGGGAUAACUUCAGGAAACUGGGGCUAAUACCGGAUAGGAGCUCCUGCUGCAUGGUGGGGGUUGGAAAGUUUCGGCGGUUGGGGAUGGACUCGCGGCUUAUCAGCUUGUUGGUGGGGUAGUGGCUUACCAAGGCUUGGACGGGUAGCCGGCCUGAGAGGGUGACCGGCCACACUGGGCCUGAGAUACGGCCCAGACUCCUACGGGAGGCAGAAGUGGGGAAUAUUGCACAAGGGGCGGAAGCCUGAUGCAGCAACGCCGCGUGCGGGAUGACGGCCUUCGGGUUGUAAACCGCUUUCGCCUGUGACGAAGCGUGAGUGACGGUAAUGGGUGAAGAAGCACCGGCUAACUACGUG
rnacentral:rRNA from 1 species